UGCGAAUGCUGACAUGAGUAACGUUAAAGCAGGUGAAAAGCCUGCUCGCCGUAAGCCCAAGGAUUCCUGCUCUACGUUCAUCGGAGCAGGGUGAGUCGGCUCCUAAGGUCAGGCCGAAAGGCGUAGCCGAUGGGAAUCAGGUUAAUAUUCCUGAACCUGCGUCAGAUGCGAUGGGGGGACGGAGCAUGAAAGAUCAUCCGGGUGUUGGAUGUCCCGGUUGACGAGCGUAGGAGGUCUGCAGGCAAAUCCGCAGACGCAUCUCCAAGGCGAAGUCACGUGCCGCCACGGCGGCGAAGUGAUCGGAAGUGCUUCCAAGAAAAGCCUCUAAGCACCAGUCUGACGCGGACCGUACCGCAAACCGACACUGGUGGGCGAGCUGAAUAUGCUCAGGCGCUUGAGAGAACUCGGGAGAAGGAACUCGGCAAAUUGACACCGUAACUUCGGAAGAAGGUGUGCCGUAGUACCGUGAGAGGAGAGACACCUUGAGCGGGAAUCGGUCUCAGAGAAUAGGUGGCUGCGACUGUUUAUUAAAAACACAGCACUCUGCAAAGUCGAAAGACGACGUAUAGGGUGUGAUGCCUGCCCGGUGCUGGAAGAUUAAUUGAUGGGGUGAGAGCCCUUGAUCGAAGUCCCAGUAAACGGCGGCCGUAACUAUAACGGUCCUAAGGUAGCGAAAUUCCUUGUCGGGUAAGUUCCGACCUGCACGAAUGGCAUAACGAUGGCCACACUGUCUCCUCCCGAGACUCAGUGAAGUUGAAAUGUUUGUGAUGAUGCAAUCUACCCGCGGCUAGACGGAAAGACCCCAUGAACCUUUACUGCAGCUUUGCAUUGAACUGUGAACCGAUUUGUGUAGGAUAGGUGGGAGGCAGAGAAGAGGCCACGCCAGUGGUCUUGGAGCCGACCUUGAAAUACCACCCUGAUUUGUUUGCGGUUCUAACCACGGACAGUGAUCCUGUCUUGGGACCGUGCAUGGUAGGCAGUUUGACUGGGGCGGUCUCCUCCUAAAGGGUAACGGAGGAGUACGAAGGUACGCUAGGUACGGUCGGAAAUCGUGCUGAUAGUGCAAUGGCAAAAGCGUGCUUGACUGCGAGAGCAACAACUCGAGCAGAUGCGAAAGCAGGUCAUAGUGAUCCGGUGGCUCUGAAUGGAAGGGCCAUCGCUCAACGGAUAAAAGGUACUCUGGGGAUAACAGGCUGAUACCGCCCAAGAGUUCAUAUCGACGGCGGUGUUUGGCACCUCGAUGUCGGCUCAUCGCAUCCUGGGGCUGUAGUCGGUCCCAAGGGUAUGGCUGUUCGCCAUUUAAAGAGGUACGUGAGCUGGGUUUAAAACGUCGUGAGACAGUUUGGUCCCUAUCUGCCGUGGGCGUUGGAAGAUUGACGGGGGCUGCUCCUAGUACGAGAGGACCGGAGUGGACGCACCUCUGGUGUACCGGUUGUCACGCCAGUGGCAUUGCCGGGUAGCUAAGUGCGGAAGAGAUAACCGCUGAAAGCAUCUAAGCGGGAAACUUGCCUGAAGAUGAGUCUUCCCGGAGGUAAAACCUCCCUCAAGAGUCGUCCGAGACCAGGACGUCGAUAGGUCAGGUGUGUAAGCGCUGUGAGGCGUUGAGCUAACUGAUACUAAUUGCUCGUGAGGCUUGAUCCU
rnacentral:rRNA from 1 species